GACGAACGCUGGCGGCGUGCUUAACACAUGCAAGUCGAACGGAAAGGCCCUGCUUUUGCUGGGUGCUCGAGUGGCGAACGGGUGAGUAACACGUGAGUAACCUGCCCUUGACUGUGGGAUAACUUCUGGAAACUGGGGCUAAUACCGGAUAGGAGCUCCUGCUGCAUGGUGGGGGUUGGAAAGUUUCGGCGGUUGUGGAUGGUCUCGCGGCUUAUCAGCUGGUUGGUGAGGUAGUGGCUUACCAGGGCUUUGACGGGUAGCCGGCCUGAGAGGGUGACCGGCCACAUUGGGACUGAGAGACGGCCCAGACUGCUACGGGACGCAGCAGUGGGGAAUAUUGCACAAUGGGCGGAAGCCUGAUGCAGCAGCGCCGCGUGCGGGAUGACGGGCUUCGAGUUGUAAACCGCUUUCGCCUGUGACGAAGAGUGAGUGACGGUAAUGGGUAAGGAAGCACCGGCUAACUACGUG
rnacentral:rRNA from 1 species